UACGUAGGGUGCGAGCGUUAAUCGGAAUUACUGGGCGUAAAGGCGUGCGCAGGCGGUGAUGUAAGACAGAAUGUGAAAUCCCCGGGCUUAACCUGGGAACUGCAUUUGUGACUGGCAAGCUAGAGUAUGGCAGAGGGGGGUAGAAUUCCACGUGAUAGCAGUGAAAUGCGUAGAGAUGUGGAGGAAUACCGAUGGCGAAGGCAGCCCCCUGGGCCAAUACUG
rnacentral:rRNA from 1 species